rnacentral:rRNA from 1 species
CAGUAGCCGCGGGAAUACGAAGGGUGCAAGCGUUACUCGGAAUUACUGGGCGUAGAGCGUGCGUAGGUGGUGGUUUAAGUCCGUUGUGAAAGCCCUGGGCUCAACCUGGGAAUUGCAGUGGAUACUGGGUCACUAGAGUGUGGUAGAGGAUAGUGGAAUUUCCGGUGUAGCAGUGAAAUGCGUAGAGAUCGGAAGGAACAUCUGUGGCGAAGGCGACUAUCUGGGCCAACACUGACACUGAGGCACGAAAGCGUGGGGGGCAAACAGGAUUAGAUACCCCUGUAGUCCAUGUCUCUUAUAA